CACUGUCGAAGCUACUAGGUGAGAGCCAACAAUGGCGUCCUCCGCUGCCAGGCCUGGCUCAUCCUCCAUCAUCAGCCGGACUCUCUCCCCUUCUCUUUCUUAUACCUCAUUCUCGAUUUUCCAUCGCUUAGCUUCGGUGUUAGCUCAGUAAAUGUUCAUGUCCGGUUCCAGAUUUCCGGGUCAAGUUACUCGCCGCCGAACGACCCGGCUCCGAACUGGAGCAACCGCCCGCCUAAGGAGACUAUCCUUCUAGAUGACUGUGAUACGAUCACUGGCUUAUAGUAAUGGAGUUAGCCAAUCACCCCAAACUACCUGGGGAUGAAAUGGUCAAUUCUUAUGUCAAAACCCUUGCCACUGUUCUUGGGAGUGAGAAGGAGGCAAAGAAGAAGAUAUACUCUGUUUCCGCUACUACAUAUACAGGUUUUGGUGCUUUAAUUUCAGGGUAGCUUUCUAUCAAAGUAAAAGGAAUAGUUUUAUUAUUACUUUAAAUUUUGGAUUUUUGUUGUCGAGUACUCAUUUGUUUUAGAGAUGUUAUUGUUUUAAUAAGAUUUUGAUUGUCUGUUGUUAUGCA